UAUCUCUGAUCACAGAUUUAAAUAAGAGCUUUUCUCUCACGGAGUUGCUCUCAGUUAUUGUUUUGAAGGCUUCUCUAACAGACGACAAUUUGAAACAUGAAGGUUGUCAUCAUUUGCGCCGUCAUCUGUGCCUAUCUUGCCGUUGUGACGAACAGCGCCAAGCAGGCGUGCACCACGACCGACCAAUGUACCUGCGCACAAGGCCAGUUUCCAGACUGCCACAAGGAUGUAUGCCACUGCCAUCAUCACCAGGGGUGCACUAACCACUGCCGAGACUUCAGUUGCCCGGAUACCCAACAUGCGCACUGUAACAAAAACGCCACAUGUAUCUGUCAAUAAAUCAGGCUGGUACCACUUGCAGUUGCAGGAUUCUGUAUUGAAUAUUAUAUCCUAAAAUACAGAAAUAAAAUAUUGAAAUAA